ACAGAGAAAACAGCACUUUGGCCUUCACAGAGACUGGAAGAGACAAGUGCCUGUGGCGUUGUGUUUGGACACACCCACGGAGUGGACUCUGUUCGGCCGAAAGAAAAGGUCACAGAAAUGUCAUGCAGUCAUGUCCUUGAGACGAGGUGGAAGAGAUGCGAUUGGGCCCGGACCCGUCAUCAUCAAGGAGACAGGUGGCCAAGGAGGAAUCGGUCACUAAUGCGGUCGGCUAACUGUGUCAAGGACGUAGAACCCAAACCUGGUACAGUUCACCUGUGAGAGACCUGAGAGCACGAACGCAGAGAGGAACUGACCCACUAAACCAACUUACAACUCUACAGUCUGCACUCUUCUUGAAAUUAAAGAAGACUUUAUUUCUGUCCCUCCCUACUGUUCUCUUUCCAUUCGGGGACAUUGCAGAGCCUUGGGAACGGUUUCCAUAGCGACCAUAACUGCAGACAAGGAGAGUGUGCUGAGACAGGGAUGUGAACGCACUGGCACUCUCAUCUCAUCUCAUGUGGAGUGCAGGCCCGCCUCCUUCCAUACCUCUCAUUUGGAAAAUGUGCUGCUAUAUAUUUUUUUUUUUUUUUUUUUGAGCUAUUUAUUUAUUUAUUUUUCACAUGGUUCAUUGCAAACUUACUGCACUGCUGGUUGCAAUUAAAUCAAAUGUUACUUUUAAAGACUUUUUU
rnacentral:lncRNA from 1 species